rnacentral:ncRNA from 1 species
ACUUCAUAUAAGCUUCAUGGUGUUGUUCAUCUGUUUGAUGAGCAACUUAAAAGGGAAGUUGGGUGAAAAUCCCACGCGGUCCCGCCGCUGUAAAAGAAGAGUUCUUUCAGAAAAACCACUGAGUAAUCGGGAAGGUUGAAGGGAUGAUGAGACUUGAGCCAGAAAACCUGCCUGUAGCUUUGUGACAUG